rnacentral:rRNA from 1 species
UAGUAGUAGUAAUUAAAACUAAACUAAUUUAAAAUGGCGGCAUUUCAUCUAAUUAGAGGAACUUGUCUUUUAAUCGAUAAUCCACGUUAAAUUUCACUUUUUCUCUAAAGUUCAUAUACCAUUGUUUUAAGAUUAAAUUUUCACAAACUAAUCAAAAUAAUUUUUAAUAAAUCAAAUCAAGGUAUGACUUAUGAAAAAGAAUAAAUGAGUUACAAUAAAAAUAAUUUAAUUAAAUAUAUUUAAAAAUAUAACAAAUAAGGAUUUAAUUUUAAAUUUAAUAAUAAUAUUAAAAAUUGAAAUAGAUUAUAAAUGUGC